GAUGAACGCUGGCGGCGUGCCUAAUACAUGCAAGUCGAACGGGGUUGUUGUAGCAAUACGACAACUUAGUGGCGAACGGGUGAGUAACGCGUUGGUGACCUGCCCCGAAGAGGGGGAUAACAGUUCGAAAGGACUGCUAAUACCGCAUGAAGUUACAGGCGUUAGAGAACUGUAACGAAAGGUGCAAACCGCUAUGGGAGGGGCCUGCGUCCCAUCAGCUAGUUGGUAGGGUAAAGGCCUACCAAGGCGACGACGGGUAGGGGGCCUGAGAGGGUGACCCCCACACUGGCACUGAAACACGGGCCAGACACCUACGGGAGGCAG
rnacentral:rRNA from 1 species